UGGCUCAGUCAGUAAAGAAUCUGCUUGCAAUGCAGGAGACCCAGGUUCAAUUCCUGG
rnacentral:tRNA from 1 species